UGCAGUCGAACGAUGAUCCCAGCUUGCUGGGGGAUUAGUGGCGAACGGGUGAGUAACACGUGAGUAACCUGCCCUUAACUCUGGGAUAAGCCUGGGAAACUGGGUCUAAUACCGGAUAUGACUCCUCAUCGCAUGGUGGGGGGUGGAAAGCUUUUUGUGGUUUUGGAUGGACUCGCGGCCUAUCAGCUUGUUGGUGAGGUAAUGGCUCACCAAGGCGACGACGGGUAGCCGGCCUGAGAGGGUGACCGGCCACACUGGGACUGAGACACGGCCCAGACUCCUACGGGAGGCAGCAGUGGGGAAUAUUGCACAAUGGGCGCAAGCCUGAUGCAGCGACGCCGCGUGAGGGAUGACGGCCUUCGGGUUGUAAACCUCUUUCAGUAGGGAAGAAGCGAAAGUGACGGUACCUGCAGAAGAAGCGCCGGCUAACUACGUGCCAGCAGCCGCGGUAAUACGUAGGGCGCAAGCGUUAUCCGGAAUUAUUGGGCGUAAAGAGCUCGUAGGCGGUUUGUCGCGUCUGCCGUGAAAGUCCGGGGCUCAACUCCGGAUCUGCGGUGGGUACGGGCAGACUAGAGUGAUGUAGGGGAGACUGGAAUUCCUGGUGUAGCGGUGAAAUGCGCAGAUAUCAGGAGGAACACCGAUGGCGAAGGCAGGUCUCUGGGCAUUAACUGACGCUGAGGAGCGAAAGCAUGGGGGAGCGAACAGGAUUAGAUACCCUUGGUAGUCCAUGCCCGUAAACGUUUGGGCACUAAGGUGUGGGGGGACAUUCCCACGUUUUCCCGCGGCCGUAGCUAACCGCAUUAAAGUGCCCCGGCCUGGGGGAGUACGGGCCGCAAAGGCUAAAAACUCCAAAAGGAAUUUGACCG
rnacentral:rRNA from 1 species